UAAUACGUAGGGGGCGAGCGUUGUCCGGAUUCAUUGGGCGUAAAGAGCUCGUAGGCGGUUCGGUAAGUCAGGUGUGAAAACUCCAGGCUCAACUUGGAGACGCCACCUGAUACUGUCGUGACUAGAGUCCGGUAGGGGAGCAUGGAAUUCCUGGUGUAGCGGUGAAAUGCGCAGAUAUCAGGAGGAACACCAGCGGCGAAGGCGGUGCUCUGGGCCGGAACUGACGCUGAGGAGCGAAAGCGUGGGGAGCGAACAGGAUUAGAUACCCUGGUAGUCCACGCCGUAAACGUUGGGCACUAGGUGUGGGGCUCUGUCAACGAGUUCCAUGCCGUCGCUAACGCAUUAAGUGCCCCGCCUGGGGAGUACGGCCGCAAGGCUA
rnacentral:rRNA from 1 species